CGUACGCAACUUACCCAGAACUGAUGAAUAGCCCUCCGAAAGGAGGAUUAAUACAUCGUAACACUAUGAGGUGGCAUCACCUUACAGUUAUAGUCUCCGGCGGUUCUGGAUGGGCGUGCGGCCCAUUAGGUAGUUGGCAGGGUAACGGCCUACCAAGCCUGCGAUCAGUAACUGGUGUGAGAGCACGACCAGUCACACGGGCACUGAGACACGGCCCAG
rnacentral:rRNA from 1 species